rnacentral:rRNA from 1 species
ACUCCUACGGGAGGCAGCAGUGGGAAUAUUGCACAAUGGGCGCAAGCCUGAUGCAGCCAUGCCGCGUGAGUGAUGAAGGCCCUAGGGUUGUAAAACUCUUUCAUCGGUGAAGAUAAUGACGGUAGCCGAAGAAGAAGUCCCGGCUAACUCCGUGCCAGCAGCCGCGGUAAUACGGAGGGGCGUAGCGUUGUUCGGAAUUACUGGGCGUAAAGCGCGCGUAGGCGGACCGGAAAGUUGGGGGUGAAAUCCCGGGCGUCAACCCGCAGACGGCCUCCAAAACUAUCGGUCUGGAGUUCGAGAGAGGUGAGUGGAAUUCCGAGUGUAGAGGUGAAAUUCGUAGAUAUUCGGAGGAACACCAGUGGCGAAGGCGGCUCACUGGCUCGAUACUGACGCUGAGGUGCGAAAGCGU